UGAGGCAGCUGAAUGGCCGCGUGCCUUUGGCAUGAGGAAAGUCCGAGCACCGCAGGGCAGGGUGCCAGCUAACGGCUGGUGGAGGCGACUCCAAGGCAAGUGCAACAGAGAGAUACCGCCGAGCAAUCGGUAAGGGUGGAAAGGUGCGGUAAGAGCGCACCGGCGGCCUGGCGACUGGUCCGUCAUGUAAACCCCACUUGGUGCAAGAUAACCGGAGACCCAUAGGGCUGCCCGUCCUGUCUCCCCCCUUCGCUUGAGCGGUCAGGCGACUGACCGCCUAGAUAGAUGGCCAUUUUUAACAGAACUCGGCUUACAGGCUGCGCUCAUCAA
rnacentral:RNase_P_RNA from 1 species